AUGGGAGUGACCCCGCUGCUGGGCCAGCGCUUUAAGGUCCCUGGGGACCCAGCGGAGUGGGCCCGGGUGAGGCAUCUGGAGGCGCUGAGCGGGGAGUCGCGGGACCCGCAGAGGGCGCCCGUCCGUGUAGGGGCAGCAGCACCUGGAGGCAGGAGGCCCCGGCCGCCAGCAGGGGUCAGCCUCUGCCUGGGGGUCCCUGACUCGGUCUUCCAGGCCAGGCUAUGUCUCUUUGCCCAGGCUGGGCGGGGCCGUUUACAGUUGAAAAGCCCCGCCCCAACCCCAUCACGGCCGCCUGGCCCCGCCCCCGUCCCCAUGGAGACCCGACGCCGCCGGAAGACUUGUCAGCUGCUGUUCUGGAGCCUGGUGCCUGCCUUGUAUGCCCUGUGUGCCCCACGCGAGUGGUGCUGCUCAGGCUGGCCCCGACUCGAGACACCGGAAUGCCUAUCCACCCGUCCACUCCUGGGCCCGUUCCUCGCGGGGCGGGCUGUAGGGCACGGCGGGGGGUCUGAAAGAACAUCCAGCCCCACGUGUGUUCCCCUCCUGACUCAGGCUAGAUCACAUCUAAGCCUGCCAGGGAGGCUGGUCUCAGAAAGCCCCUGCACUGAUGUCUAGAUGUCCAGAGUCCCAAUAGAAGACUGUCUCUUUAAAAAUAUAAAUAAAAAUAAAAAGAUAAAGGGGACCUCUCUCUUGUUCUGUUUCCUUUCUUCUUCAGUUCUUCCAAACUCUGAUUUUUGCUCGGGCUAAUAGGAAAGUCAUCUUCUUGCUGCCUGAAGUCAUUGUCUCAUGUUCCUUUUCCUUCCUAGAGAUCUUCUAAACAGUGUCAACUAGAUCGCAGCCAUCUGGCCCCUGCUCACUUCAAUGGCAUUCAUUUCUCCCUCACCUCUGCUCAUUUUUGGAUCUUUCAGCAUUUUCCCCCAAUACACCAGCCUUCCCCUGCUUCUGUGGUUCAGCUCGGCUGCCUCCCUCUGAUACCCUCUUCCAGUGCUUAUUGUCUGGGCCAAUGAUUCUUCACUUCAUCACAUCCAGCUCAGGUAUUAUUCUUCUCUUUAGAACUACUUCCUCAUUUGCAUUUCUUAUUUUUGACAUCUCUCCUAGAAGGGCUCUGAUCUCCUGAAGACAGGUGCUAUCUUCCACGUGCUUAUUCCCUAACACUUAGCACAGACCGAGGUGUUCAGGAAGUGCUUGUGGAGUCAAGGCAUGAAAUAAGCCAUGUGGGCACAGGGCAACAGGAGUGGCAUGAGGCAGUCCCUGAACAUCAUGGUCUGUACUCCACCUCCCAGACUUGUGGCUCCCUGGAUGAACAGAGUAGGAAGAAGAGGAAUUUGAGAUCCCAGCCUGUCAUGUGAGGACAAGAGGAGAAGCAAAAUAUGGUAAUA
rnacentral:lncRNA from 1 species